rnacentral:rRNA from 1 species
GACGAACGCUGGCGGCGCGCUUAACACAUGCAAGUCGAGCGAGAACCAGGGCUUCGGCCCUGGGGACAGCGGCGAACGGGUGAGUAACACGUGGAUAACCUGCCCUCGGCACCGGGAUAGCCCGGGGAAACCCGGAUUAAUACCGGAUGGCCCUUCCGGCUCACGAGCCGGUCGGAAAAGGUAGCUUCGGCCUCCGGCCGAGGAUGGGUCCGCGGCGGAUUAGCUUGUUGGUGGGGUAACGGCCCACCAAGGCCCCGAUCCGUAGCUGGUCUGAGAGGACGGACAGCCACACUGGGACGGAGACACGGCCCAGACUCCUACGGGAGGCAGCAGUGGGGAAUCUUGCGAAAUGGGCGAAAGCCUGACGCAGCGACGCCGCGUGAGGGAGGAAGGCCUUCGGGUCGUAAAGCUCUGUUGUUAGGGAAGAACAAGUAUGAGAGUAACUGCUCGUACCUUGACGGUACCUAACCAGAAAGCCACGGCUAACUACGUGCCAGCCGCCGCCGUAACAC